AGUAUUAGUUAUGUUCUUUAAACUCAAAGGAUUUGACGGUACUUUAUUCUUUUUAGAGGAACCUGCCUUAUAAUUGAUAAUUCACGAUUUGAUUUACUUUGUUUAUUUGUUUGUAUACCUCCGUUAUCAGAGAGUCUUCUUAGAGAUUAAAUYUUMUUUWAUUUUUAUUUGGUUUCAUUUCAGGUCAAGGUGCAGCUUAUAAUAAUGUAGAGGUGGGUUACAAUAUAAUUUAUUUAUAUUAUGGAUUCCAUUUUUGAUACUUGGAUGAAGGUGGAUUUAAAAGUAAUUUUAUUUGAUUAUUCUAUUUUGAAUGUAGUUCUAGAGUGUGU
rnacentral:rRNA from 1 species